UAUGGAUGGCUGAGGAGGUAUUAAUUCUAGUUUCAUAACCGGUGUGGAUAAAUUUCUCCUGUUUUGCAUGUUUUGGGCGAAAUUGCAUGAGUGGUGACAGAAGUUAUUAAUCUUUCAGUGAGUGGUUCAAACAUUAGAUAUCAGAGGUAUGUUGUACUUUAACAAAUUAGAGCUUCUUAAUAUACAAAAUAUUACUCUAGCUAGGACCCUUGAAGGACAAUAAGAUCUCAAGUUUAUUAAAAUUGGAAAGUAGCUGCAAGCUUCUAAGAUAAAUUUGAGUUACUGCUGUAAACUUUUGGCAUUAGACAUUGAUUUGUUGUUGGUUAGAACUUGAAAAUUGCAUUAUUUAGUGCUUCAUGGGAAUUCUGCUACUGAAUCACACAAACUAGAAGAAGAAUAAAUCACUCCACACCCCUAUCCAGCUCUGGCCAUCCCUCUCCUUCUCAGAUCGCAGAAGACUACCAGCGAGGUUUCAAUUGUUGGAAUCAAUGAGCUUUAUGGGGGUGUUCUAGAGUUACUUUUAUGUUGAUGGCUAUUAUUGAAGUAUGAUUUUGAAAUUACAUUGCUUAACAGUUCAGGAUAUAGCUCAUGAAUUAUUAGAGUAACAGAGAUCUCAAUAGGAGUAGAUGGACGUUGCAACUUGGAUAUAUUACGAGACCGUGGGAGGAGAGAUGAAGAUAAGCGUUUAUGUCCUUGGGUC